UACGUAGGAUGCAAGCGUUGUCCGGAUUUACUGGGCGUAAAGAGCGCGCAGGCGGUCGUUCAAGUCGCGUGUGAAAGCCCCCGGCUCAACUGGGGAGGGUCAUUCGAUACUGAUCAACUUGAAGGCAGGAGAGGGUAGUGGAAUUCCCGGUGUAGUGGUGAAAUGCGUAGAUAUCGGGAGGAACACCAGUGGCGAAGGCGACUACCUGGCCUGUUCUUGACGCUGAGGCGCGAAAGCUGGGGGAGCAAACGGG
rnacentral:rRNA from 1 species